CGUCCACGGCCACCCGCCCGUCUGUGGGGCGCUCGGGCAGCCGCGGCGCACUCAGUGCGGACAGCGGAGCGGCUGGAGCCCGGGCGGUGCGGGCUGGGCGGUGCGCCGCGGCAGCGGCCAGGGGGCGGCUCCGCAGAGGCGAGCGCCGCCCGCGCCCCGCUCCCCGCGUCCGCCGGCCGGUGCCUGCGCGCGAGGCGAGCGCAGGGCGGAGGGUGGGGCGAGCCGGGAGAGAGAUGGGAGGAGGGAGGGGAGGCGGGAGCGCGGAGGAGCCAGAGCGUCCGGCGCCCAGUGGGCUCCAGGCUGGGGUUAAAUACCCCGGGGGCGGCGCCGCGCCUCCCUACCCGCGCCCUGCGUCGGAGCCCUUGGACUUCCCCCGCGCGGCGAGGUUGUGCUGGUCUUGCAAGGCCGAGCCCCUUCCCUAGGGCUCCUACACUCACAAAGCCUCAAGAUGGGUUCUCUGCAUGUCAAGUCUGCCCAGAGAGUGCAAACUAUUGGCCGGAGCAAAAGAAAAUCAAGAAGAAAAAGUCUACUAAAAAGUGCCACUUACUGAACGUUUCCCUUUGUGUCCUCAUGUAAUCUGUACAAUGACCCAGUGAAGAAUUUAGGUUGCACCAUUUGAAAAUACUUUUUGGAAGUAGAAAAUGGUUGACAGUUGGCAAGUUCAUAGAAUUCAACUUAUUUUCACUCCCAUUUUACAGAUGGGAAAAGUCUCAGAGAAAGCAGAUGAUGUCCCUGUAGUCUCAGGUCAUCCGGUAGGUAGGUGAGCUGGGACUUGAAAUCAGGACCUUCUGAUGUCCAGAUCUGCUCCUGACUGCUAUGAUAUAGUGUCAUAAGUGAGUUUUGGCUUCUGGUCUACCUGAGGGCUGCCUUCUUUAGUGAAGUGUGGGCUUAACAGAGUGCAAAUACCACUCUACUUUGUGUUUGCAGAAAACAAAGGAUGGCCAAGCUCAGGGACUCUAGUGAUAAAAGUUGGAUGGAUAUUGAUGAAAUGGUCAAAAGAACCCCACAGUGGAUGUGUUAUCUUGGGCAAAUGGCUAAAUGUCCCUCGAUUUCCUCAAGUGUUGGUGUCUCCUUCGUAGGGCGUUUGUAAAUAAAUUAAUGAGUGUGAAAGCUAUGCCUGGCACACAGUGAAUGUUUGAUAACUGGAAAGAACACUAAUUCUUAUAUCGAAUGGAUCCCAUUUAGAAAAACAAAAUCUUUUAGAAUUGCAUUUUUUAAUGAAAAAAACUGGGGGCCGGGCGUGGUGGCUCACGCCUGUAAUCCUAGCACUUUGGGAAACCGAGGCGGGCAGAUCAUCUGAGAUUGGGAGUUCGAGACAAGCCUGACCAACAUGGAGAAACCCCAUCUCUACUAAAAAUACAAAAUUAGCCGGGUGUGGUGGUGCACGCCUGUAAUCAUAGCUACUCACGAGGCUGAGGCAGGAGAAUCUCUUGAACCCGGGAGGUGGAGGUUGCAGUGAGCCAAGAUCAUGCCAUUGCACUCCAGCCUAGGCAACAAGAGUGACACGCUGUCUCAAAAAAAAAAAAAAAAAAAAAAAAAAAAAGAAAGAAAGAAAAAAGUAAUGGCAAAAUUUGGAUACAAGAUGAUUCUCAAAAAACAAAUAGUUGGGAUCAUUUAAAAAGUUUGCUAUAAUAGCUUUGCAGUCAUAAGGUAAAAUAACAAUGAUAGCUUCACAGAACAGAGCAUAUGGGAUUGAAAAGGCAUUCAGCUUCCUCUAAAGGUUGUGCCUAAAUUCAAUAACAGGAAAUGUGAAACUUUCCCUAUUUCCUUAGAUCUCCUUUCCUUGCACUUCAUGGAAGCUUUUUUGGUUUUGUUUGUGUUUUAAUGUACAGGUAGCCUGGGUUGCAGUGUGAGGGAGACAGACCACAGAGACAUGUAUGGAUAACAGCAAAAAGGAAAUGGAGAAACUGCUGGAAUUUGAUCAAUAGUAAACAAUGUACUGAGAACACACAUUUACAACACAUAUAUGCUCAUCAGUCAUCAGGUUUUCACUAAGUAUCUAGUACAUUUUGACCCAGAGAGAAAUGCUUGGGGCAUGCGGGGGGUGAGAAAGAACUGGUCAAGGUAUCCUGAAAAGUCUUUGAGUUAAGUUCUUAGAUAAUGCCUAUUAAUUUACCUGCACCUAUAUUCAUUCAUAGUAUAUUUCUGCGAAAGGAGGCAGACAUAGAAUGAAAAAUUGAAUUGAAUAUGGAAUUAGACAAUGGGGAAGAGAGAUCCAAACUAAAUAAGGUCUUCAUUCCAAUUUCCUAUGAUGUGCAAUCUGUUGUCAUGGGACAGCAAGACAAAGGGAAAUGACUAUUGGCACGCGUGUGAAUUUAAUGAGGAACAUUAGUGGAACAUACCUUAUCUCUCCUCCCAGUAUGGAAAAAUCUGUGUAAGAGAAGGAAGUCCUUAAAAUAGUAUCCUAUGACCAUCACCCCAACUAAAACAGUGAAAUCUGAGGUGGUAAAUCUCCUUUUACAAACCAGUUCUGAUGUAUUUCUUGGGGGGAAAAAAACUCUUAAGAAACAGAAAAGGGGAAAGGGUUUCUGUAGUUCCUCUGUAUAUUUUUAGAAAAAUGGCAUCACUUUGCAGACUUGAAUCUAGAGUCUGAGGGUUAUAAACCAACUUCCUCAGUGUUUCCACUACAUCUUUUCAGCCUGGCAGCUCUUCAGAUAUACGAGUUUCUACCACUCAUUGGUCAUUUCUUAACUCGAGUGAACAAAAUUGUUGGCUUUUUAAGGAAAUUGCCUGUCUGGUGGGUAAAGCAUAUCUAUUUGUAAGGUGUCAAGAAACAGAUAAUAAAAUAGAUCCAUUUCUGCUAACACAAUAAUACUCCUUUAAUCUGAGCCAGUGCUAUGACUCAUCUGCCUGUCUCCUCUUGUGGGAUGGAAAGGGAGCUGUCUGCAAACCUUCAGCAGUGGGAGGAGGGAGGGAGAUACUUUUCACAUGUUAGGGCUGCUGCUCUGCUUUGAAAACCCACCAACUCUAGAACUGCUGUUUUCUCUAGGCUGAAGAGGCCUUUGGUCCUUAGAGGUGAGAGGUUGGCCCUAUUUUUGAUAAUUUAUCUCAAGGUAGACUUUGGUCCCGAGGAAGCUUCUACCCAGAGCUAAGGAGGCCUCCAUGGACUGUAGGUAAGCUGGAGAGCAGGGUCCAAGCUAGCUCAAUGUCCAUCUAACAGAACAAGGUGCUAGAAGACAGCCUUGAAAAAGGGAGCUUUUCCUAUUUCUUUCUUGCCAGUAAAAAUAAGCUUUAAUUAGUCCCCCCUCUUGUUUAAAAAGUAAUGC
ensembl:lncRNA